GUGGGGAAUCUUCCGCAAUGGACGAAAGUCUGACGGAGCAACGCCGCGUGAGUGAAGAAGGUUUUCGGAUCGUAAAGCUCUUUCGUUAGGGACGAACGUGCUCUUUGUGAAUAAUGAGGAGUAAUGACGGUACCUAAAUAAGAAGCCACGGCUAACUACGUGCCAGCAGCCGCGGUAAUACGUAGGUGGCAAGCGUUGUCCGGAAUUAUUGGGCGUAAAGCGCGCGCAGGCGGGAUAUCAAGUCUGUCUUAAAAGUGCGAGGCUCAACCUCGUGAGGGGACAGAAACUGGUAUUCUUGAGUGUCGGAGAGGAAAGUGGAAUUCCAAGUGUAGCGGUGAAAUGCGUAGAGAUUUGGAAGAACACCAGUGGCGAAGGCGACUUUCUGGACGAAAACUGACGCUGAGGCGCGAAAGCCAGGGGAGCGAACGGGAUUAGAUACCCCAGUAGUCC
rnacentral:rRNA from 1 species